CUCAAGUUAAGGGGACCUUCAAGUUCUUCAGAAUUGCUUUACUGUCAAGCGCUCAUCAAAUUAUUGAUUGAUAAAAUUGAGAAUUUUUAUGCUUGUUGGAAUACAGUAAAAGUUAGUCGCGUUUACCACUGCGACGAGAUGUGGAAAAUUGUUUUAGAACUUUUGCAAUAUUAUGCGAAGUUAAAUUUAAUUCCAGACGCUGAUUUAUUUAAUUCCUGCAUGAAGUUAGCGAUCCACACAAGCGACCCCAAUGCUGCCUUACGACUUUUUCAAGAAAUGCGUGC